AGUCGCGUGGUCUAAUGGUUAUGAUUUCUCGUUCACAUGAAUUUCUUUCUUUCAAGUGAAUUCCUCAUUUAUCUAUGUGAGGAGGUUCCGAGAAGGUUCCCGGUUCGAUCCCGGGCGCGACUA